AUUUCUAUAGCUUAUUUAGAGUAUUAUAUUGAAGAUAUAAGGGUGAAUAUUUUCUUGAAAUA
rnacentral:tRNA from 1 species